rnacentral:rRNA from 1 species
UACGUAGGGGGCGAGCGUUGUCCGGAUUUAUUGGGCGUAAAGAGCGUGUAGGCGGUCUGGUAGGUCCGUUGUGAAAACUCGAGGCUCAACCUCGAGACGCCGAUGGAAACCCUCAGACUAGAGUCCGGAAGAGGAGAGUGGAAUUCCUGGUGUAGCGGUGAAAUGCGCAGAUAUCAGGAAGAACACCCGUGGCUAAGGCGGCUCUCUAGUACGUGACUGACGCUGAGACGCGAAAGCGUGGGGAGCGAACAGG